rnacentral:rRNA from 1 species
UACGAAGGGGGCUAGCGUUGCUCGGAAUUACUGGGCGUAAAGGGCGCGUAGGCGGACAGUUUAGUCAGAGGUGAAAGCCCAGGGCUCAACCUUGGAAUAGCCUUUGAUACUGGCUGUCUUGAGUACGGGAGAGGUGUGUGGAACUCCGAGUGUAGAGGUGAAAUUCGUAGAUAUUCGGAAGAACACCAGUGGCGAAGGCGACACACUGGCCCGUUACUGACGCUGAGGCGCGAAAGCGUGGGGAG